GAAAGAAUAUCGGAGACGGAUGGGCAUGCGGCGCAUUAGCUAGUUGGCGGGGUAACGGCCCACCAAGGCGACGAUGCGUAGGGGUUCUGAGAGGAAGGUCCCCCACACUGGUACUGAGACACGGACCAGACUCCUACGGGAGGCAGCAGUGAGGAAUAUUGGUCAAUGGGCGAGAGCCUGAACCAGCCAAGUCGCGUGAGGGAGUACUGCCCUAUGGGUUGUAAACCUCUUUUGUCGGGGAGCAAAAGCCGGACGUGUCCGGCUGUGAGAGUACCCGAAGAAAAAGCAUCGGCUAACUCCGUGCCAGCAGCCGCGGUAAUACGGAGGAUGCGAGCGUUAUCCGGAUUUAUUGGGUUUAAAGGGUGCGCAGGCGGAUUUUUAAGUCAGCGGUCAAAUCGUGGGGCUCAACCCCAUCCAGCCGUUGAAACUGGGGAUCUAGAGUGUGCGAGAGGUAUGCGGAAUGCGUGGUGUAGCGGUGAAAUGCAUAGAUAUCACGCAGAACCCCGAUUGCGAAGGCAGCAUACCGGUGCACAACUGACGCUCAGGCACGAAAGCGUGGGUAUCGAACAGGAUUAGAUACCCUGGUAGUCCACGCAGUA
rnacentral:rRNA from 1 species